rnacentral:rRNA from 1 species
UGAAUACGAGAUGCUACGGCGUCGAAGCAGUCUAUGUCAUACUUCCAAGAAAAGCUCGCACUGUCAUAAACAAAUAAUGCCUGUACCAUAACCGACACAGGUGGGUAGGUAGAGUAUACUAAGGGGCGCGAGAUAACUCUCUCUAAGGAACUCGGCAAAAUGACUCCGUAACUUCGGGAGAAGGAGUGCCUUAUUUAUAAGGUUGCGAUAACAAGAUCCAAGCAACUGUUUAUCAAAAACACAGGUCUCCGCUAAGUCGUAAGACGAUGUAUGGGGGCUGACGCCUGCCCAGUGCCAGAAGGUUAAAGAAGUUGGUUAGCAUUCGCGAAGCUGAUAACUGAAGCCCUGGUGAACGGCGGCCGUAACGAUAACGGUCCUAAGGUAGCGAAAUUCCUUGUCGGGUAAGUUCCGACCCGCACGAAAGGCGUAAUGAUUUGGAUACUGUCUCGGAGAGGGGCUCGGUGAAAUAGACUUGUCUGUGAAGAUGCGGACUACCUGCACCAGGACAGAAAGACCCUAUGAAGCUUUACUGUAACUUGAGAUUGAAAUUGGACUUUACUUGCGCAGUAUAGGUGGGAGGCGUUGAUAAUAUUCUUGCGGGAUUAUUUGAGCCAUCAGUGAGAUACCACUCUUGUAAUGUUAGAUUUCUAACUUUGUAUCAUUAUCUGGUCAAAGGACAGUUUCAGGCGGGCAGUUUGACAGGGGCGGUCGCCUCCUAAACGGUAACGGAGGCGCACAAAGGUUUCCUCUGAACGGGUAGAAAUCGUAUCUAGAGUGUAAAGGCAUAAGGAAGCUUGACUGUGAGACCUACAAGUCGAGCAGGGACGAAAGUCGGUCUUAGUGAUCUGACGGUGCUGAGUGGAAAGGCCGUCACUCAACGGAUAAAAGUUACUCUAGGAUAACAGGCUGAUCUCCCCCAAGAGUUCACAUCGACGGGGAGGUUUGGCACCUCGAUGUCGGCUCAUCGCAUCCUGGGGCGGUAGUACGUCCCAAGGGUUGGGCUGUUCGCCCAUGAAAGCGGUACGCGAGCUGGGUUCAGAACGUCGUGAGACAGUUCGGUCCAUAUCCGGUGUAGGCGUUAGAAUAUUGAGAGGAGCCUUCUUUAGUACGAGAGGACCGAGAAGGACAUACCUCUGGUGUACCAGUUAUCGUGCCAACGGUAAACGCUGGGUAGCUAUGUAUGGAGUGGAUAACCGCUGAAAGCAUCUAAGUGGGAAGCCCACCUCAAGAUAAG